UACGUAGGGGGCUAGCGUUGUCCGGAAUCAUUGGGCGUAAAGAGCGCGUAGGCGGCUAGAUAAGUCCGGUGUGAAAGUCACAGGCUCAACCUGUGAAUGCCGCUGGAAACUGUCUGGCUAGAGUCCGGAAGGGGCGAGUGGAAUUCCUGGUGUAGCGGUGAAAUGCGCAGAUAUCAGGAGGAACACCCGUGGCGAAGGCGGCUCUCUGGGACGGUACUGACGCUGAGACGCGAAAGCGUGGGGAGCGAACAGG
rnacentral:rRNA from 1 species